GACAGAGGUGCCGAGCGUUAGGCGGAAUCACUGGGCUUAAAGCGUGUGUAGGCGGAUCUGUAAGUACCUUGUGAAAUCCCACGGCUCAACCGUGGAACUGCUUGGUAUACUGCGGGUCUUGAGCCACCUAGGGGCAAGUGGAACAAACGGUGGAGCGGUGAAAUGCGUAGAUAUCGUUUGGAACGCCAAUGGUGAAAACAACUUGCUGGGGGUGUGCUGACGCUGAGACACGAAAGCCAGGGGGAGCAAAACGGGG
rnacentral:rRNA from 1 species